AGUGAACGCUGGCGGCAGGCCUAACACAUGCAAGUCGAACGGCAGCACAGUAAGAGCUUGCUCUUACGGGUGGCGAGUGGCGGACGGGUGAGGAAUACAUCGGAAUCUACUUUUUCGUGGGGGAUAACGUAGGGAAACUUACGCUAAUACCGCAUACGACCUACGGGUGAAAGCAGGGGAUCUUCGGACCUUGCGCGAUUGAAUGAGCCGAUGUCGGAUUAGCUAGUUGGCGGGGUAAAGGCCCACCAAGGCGACGAUCCGUAGCUGGCCUGAGAGGAUGAUCAGCCACACUGGAACUGAGACACGGUCCAGACUCCUACGGGAGGCAGCAGUGGGGAAUAUUGGACAAUGGGCGCAAGCCUGAUCCAGCCAUACCGCGUGGGUGAAGAAGGCCUUCGGGUUGUAAAGCCCUUUUGUUGGGAAAGAAAAGCAGCAGGUUAAUACCCCGCUGUUCUGACGGUACCCAAAGAAUAAGCACCGGCUAACUUCGU
rnacentral:rRNA from 1 species